rnacentral:lncRNA from 1 species
UCCCUCCUUUGUCCUAUUUUUCUGGCCUAUGAUUAAUAGGAGGACAGUCUUUCAAGACGAAGAUUUCUGCUGGGGUCUGGGAGGGGAGGGGAAAGUCUAGGGCCUGAGAGCAGAGGGAAAAUGAGAGCAGAGGGUCAGGGAAAACGCCUUGGCCGGAGAGGUUGGUUUUCUGCUCAGGGCUCCCUGGGAAGCAAGACGAGGAGGAGGCGGGAUCCAGCCUUGGUUGAGAGGACUGUCAGCUUCUUUCUCCUAGAUUGGGAAAUGUCAGCGAAAGCUGAGUUCACCCCCCUGGGUGGUGAGGAGUCUGCCUAACUGUCCAGAGGCACACGGGGCAGGAGUGGCAUGAAGAGAGUGACUAGUGGAGGCCAUAUAGGAGUCAGGCAAGCACUCUCACUGGUCCCAGGCACCGAGUUUCGAAUGCAAGCCUUGCGGGAAGCUGGAACUCCUCACCCUGCCUAGCAGCAGAGAACCCCUCCCACCAACCUGAAGGUAGGCAGAGGCUGAAUAAGGAACCUGGGUCCCUGGGCAUUCAUGGAAACUAACAUUCACGGUAAAACUCAUACACAAAUAUCUAUAGUAGCUUUAUUUCUAAUAACCAACAACCAGAACCAACCUAGAUGCCAUUUAGCAGCGGAAGGGUUAAACUGUGGUUCCUCCUUGUCUUGGAAAAUUGCUCAGGAAUAAAAACAAAAGAAUAAUUGGUACAAGUGACAAACUAGACAAAUCAUCAGAGAUUCAUGCCGAGUGACAAAAGCCGAUCUCAAAAGGUCGUAUCUCCUGAUUCCAUUGAAAUGUCAGUCCUGAAAUGGCAAAACUACGGAAACAGAGAACAAAUGAGUGGCCGCAGGUGUUAAGGCCAGAGUGGGGUAAGAGGAAAGUUGGCUGGACAAAUCCUUGUGGUGAUGGAGUUGGUUAGCAUCUUCAUUAUCCCAGGACCAAUAGGCUCUUUGUGACACUGAGCUGUCUUAAUCUUUUGGCAUCACUACAAUUUUCCUAUUGGUGGUCACUGGAUGUGGGACACAGGGGACCUUUUUAUAUUUUUCUUCCAACUGAAGGUAGAUCUUCAAUCAUCAUAAAAUUAAAAUGUUAAUUUUAAAAAUGUAGAGUCAAUUGUGGGUCUUUUCCUAUUUUUCUAAAAGUACCAAUCUAAGAGUAGAUUAGAAGUAGGAAUCUGGAGAAGAAUGAAAGAGAAGACCAAAAUUAAACCAGCAGCUGUCUGUCCUUUUCUCUGAGGCAAACUCACUCAUCAUAAGUACUUAAAUAUUUAUCCCAUCAAUCUUAGGAUAUCACAAGAAUAGCUUACUAGUGUUAGUAACAGAUUUUGCAGAGCUAAAGGCUCAAUCUUUACCCAUGAUUAAGGUUCCUUGCUAUCUAGUGCUUAAAGGCCAGUGAAAUGGGAAGAUCUCUAUAUUUAUAACACAAGCAUCACUUUUAGCUCCCAUCUCUUUCAUUUCUUGCAGCACUUAUAGAAAAAAGUGGAUCAUUAGAAUAUUUUUACUAUAAUACUUUAGCCAACAAGAGGUGUGUAUGAAGUACUUAUGUUCAAAUGCUACAGAUUGAAACAAUUAUUUUAGCAUUGUAAUCUUGACUCAAUCUUGAAAUAUUCUCAGAUGGUAAAUGUUUGGCUAAUGAUAUGUGAGUUAAAGAAAGAGAUGAGAGAUGAUUAAAUAAUACUUCUAAUAGUUGACAUGCCUACUAUGUUUCAGAUAUGCAUCCAUAAUUUAUACUUAAAAUAGAGAAAGUUAGUUUGUUCUAUUAACAGCAUACAUUAUAGCAUUGUAGUAGUGAAGCUGUGCAAAGUGUCAUAUGAUACCUUAGUAAUAUCAAGCUCAACAUAUGUUUAAUUGCCCUUUAACUAUACAAAAGACCUACUCUUGUGUACAGUUUCCAAGUUUACUUGCUAGAACUAAGUAGAACAUAUCUCGUCCAACACAGGAGGGGGGGGGGCAGCGCUUCAUCUUUGUCAUUAGAAGGGUCCUCCAGGAGUCCAAGGGCACAAUAUAGAACAAAUAAGAAUAAAAAUAUAAUAU